rnacentral:rRNA from 1 species
UGCAAGUCGAACGAGAAGCUCCAGCUUGCUGGAGGGGACAGUGGCGCACGGGUGAGUAACGCGUAGGCAACCUGCCCUUUAGUGGGGAAUAACUUCGGGAAACCGAAACUAAUACCGCAUAAUAUCCUGGAACCGCAUGGCUCCGGGAUCAAAGCCUUCGGGCGCUAAUGGAUGGGCCUGCGUUGGAUUAGGUAGUUGGUGAGGUAACAGCUCACCAAGCCGACGAUCCGUAGCUGGUCUGAGAGGAUGAUCAGCCACACUGGCACUGAGACACGGGCCAGACUCCUACGGGAGGCAGCAGUGAGGAAUAUUGCGCAAUGGGCGAAAGCCUGACGCAGCCACGCCGCGUGAAGGAUGACACCCCUAUGGGGCGUAAACUUCUUUUAUGAGAGAAGAAAACCUGACUCGGUCAGGCCUGACGGUAUCUCAUGAAUAAGCACCGGCUAACUCCGUGCCAGCAGCCGCGGUAAUACGGAGGGUGCAAGCGUUGUCCGGAAUCACUGGGUGUAAAGGGUGUGUAGGCGGGGCUGUAAGUCAGAGGUGAAAUCCUGCGGCUCAACCGUAGAACUGCCUUUGAUACUGCAGCUCUUGAGUCUCGGAGAGGUCAUUAGAAUUCGUGGUGUAGCGGUGAAAUGCGUAGAUAUCACGAGGAAUACCAGAGGCGUA